GAUGAACGCUCGCGGCAGGCUUAACACAUGCAAGUCGAGGGGCAGCAUAAUGGAUAGCAAUAUCUAUGGUGGCGACCGGCGCACGGGUGCGUAACGCGUAUGCAACCUACCUUUAACAGGGGGAUAACACUGAGAAAUUGGUACUAAUACCCCAUAAUAUCAUAGAAGGCAUCUUUUAUGGUUGAAAAUUCCGAUGGUUAGAGAUGGGCAUGCGUUGUAUUAGCUAGUUGGUGGGGUAACGGCUCACCAAGGCGACGAUACAUAGGGGGACUGAGGUUAACCCCCCACACUGGUACUGAGACACGGACCAGACUCCUACGGGAGGCAGCAGUGAGGAAUAUUGGUCAAUGGACGCAAGUCUGAACCAGCCAUGCCGCGUGCAGGAUGACGGCUCUAUGAGUUGUAAACUGCUUUUGUACGAGGGUAAACGCAGAUACGUGUAUCUGUCUGAAAGUAUCGUACGAAUAAGGAUCGGCUAACUCCGUG
rnacentral:rRNA from 1 species